rnacentral:lncRNA from 1 species
GCGUGGUUGCCCUGUUUCUCUCUUCUUGGAUUUGUACCUGCCUGUUAGUGACACAGUGUUCCUUUACAAGGUGAAAUGUUGGUGCCAAACGAACUUUUCUGGUUCUUCUGAAUUUUCUGUGGCCACCAUUGCUUUUAGAUAAAUCUCAUUAUGUGCUCCGAGC